rnacentral:rRNA from 1 species
GACGAACGCUGGCGGCGUGCUUAACACAUGCAAGUCGAGCGGAGCAGCGAACGGGUGAGUAACGCGUUAGUAACUGCCCCCCUCUCUGGGAUAACAGUUGGAAACGGCUGCUAAUCCCGUAUAGUGGGGGUUGACUCGGGGCCUAUCAGCUGGUGGGUGGGGUAGUGGCCGACCAAGGCGACGACGGGUAGCCGGCCUGAGAGGGCGACCUGCCACAUUGGGCUGAGAGACGGCCCAAACGCCUACGGGAGGCAGCAGUGGGGAAUAUUGCACAAUGGGGGAAACCCUGAGGCAGCAACGCCGCGUUCGGGAUGACGGCCUUCGGGUUGUAAACCGCUUUCAGCCAUGACGCGGUAGUGGCAGAAGAAGCACCGGCUAACUACGUGCCAGCAGCCGCGGUAAUAC